CUCGGACAGUUUGAGCUUUGUCCAGCGCCUUGGCUCCAGUCUUUCGUCUUCCACACACUCAAACACACGCCACGGUUUGUCUACGGCUGCGUUCACACCUGCCGCGCCCCUUUAUUUCAUUUCCAUCAUCGCCGCACAGACCACGAGCUCUCUACGCCUGCAGGGCAUUUUCACUUUUACACUUCUGUCCUGGUUCCUAAAUAAAAGCACCAUUGUUGACGUUGGACGCUUCUUUAUUAUUCGUUUGAAUCUCAGUCUAUUCAUCUGUUCAGGUGUGUAGCGAGUGUGUCGCGAAUCCGUGAUUCCGAUCGAAAUGCAUCCAUGCAACGAUCAUAAACCGAUUGUUCUUCAUUAGAAGUCAUUAUAUUACUGGGAAAAAACAAGAAGGAAAAAAAAACCCGAUAAACUGCCACCAGCGAGAGGAUCGGACUGUAACUUCGUAACGUGAUCGUGUGUGUGUGUUUUUUUUUUAAACAGUUCUUAUCUACGUCAUCACUCGCGAAUUAACGCUACCUGAGAAUCACAUCAUCGAUCAGAGGUUAAGGAAAUUGCAUCGUAUGAUAGAUCGGUCCCUCACGCCUCUCGCCGAAAUUAAACGCAAAACCCAGGAAAAAUUUCUAAGUUACACGAAGCCGCGCCAUGUGACGUCGUCACGACGCGCGCUCGGCCGGUUAGAGUAGUUUUCCGCAAAUAAACAACAACAAAAAAAAACAUAGCUGCUGAGAUCGGAGAUCUCGGUCAUCAUCGCCCCCUACUGGAUACACUCUGUACUGCAUUUGAAGAGACUUAAAAUUCGGGUGAAUUCUGAAAAAUACAUCUAAAUCCGUUAAAUUAAGGACGGUGUUCGUGGGUACACGUAUACAGGUACUUCGUUCUGAAAACCGUAACGGAUAUCUCCGGAGCCGGUACGUUCCUACUCGCCAGUUUUGUAAAAUAUUAACGUAGCUGCCAUUUUGAUUCGCCAUAAAGGCUUUGUCUCGAACGCUAACGUCAACAUAUUUCUAAACAAUGAUCGUUCAUAUGCAAAGUUAGUAAAGGUUUAUCGCAUGGUCAGCGUGACGUACCGCGAUAGUCUAAAACGGGACAUUAAAGGAGACGGGUUAAAGGUGAACGGAUGAGUCACGAGUCACCCCGGGGUGGGGCGGGGUCGAUGAUUGAAGAAUAGGGAUUGUGGUAGGUCUGAGAUUCUGAUCCGUCGGAGACAAACGCUAGAGAUCGGCAUCUUUGGUUCAUCUCCGCCUCGAGCGAAAUAUCGCGUGUCUUUUCACUCCAGCACCCCCUGGGGUGAGACAGCGAGAAUCACAGCGUCACACACCUGUUCCUCGGAUGUGGUAGGGGCUCGGUUUCGUGUCUCACGCACAAAUAGGACGUGUGUGACCGCAUACGGGGAAGGAAAAACCACCCGCUUUCAUGGAUAUCGUGUUCUAAGACGCUGGCCCGAGGUCACACAUUCCACAGCUGUAUACUAAUCCCGCGGUUAUUAGUCAGCUCAUUACGUCGCUACGCUGAAUGACCAAAUGGAGCUUAACGACGGGGUACGGAACCUUUAAAACUCAGAAGGAAAAGAGCGCACGCGUUAAUAAUAAUAAUAAUAAUAAUAAUAAUAAUAAUAAUAAAAAAACAAAACGGGGCGCAGUUUAAUCGCAGCAAUAACGACGCUAAUUAACGUAGGAAGGCUCCCGUAAACUCUACCGAUCGAGGAAGAGAAAGACGUUCGAGCCUGGGGUGUUUUCCAGCACUGUCGCUCAUCGAGGACACACACACAACACACACACACACACACACACACACAAACAGAGAGGAGGUCAGAACAACCGCAUCAAAGUAGCGAGAGCCUCCGCGGUCGGUCGUCAGCAUCGAGUCGCUCCGAACAACAACGGAGUCCGUAUAAACGUGGAGGAGUCCGCGCCGGUUUAUCGACACCGGUCUCGCUCCCACCGGAGACGUGUCGACAAUAUAAAAAGAGAGAGAGGAAAAACCGAGACAGAGACAGACAGAAAGAAAGGAAGUAAGAGAGACUCCGUUUACACGUCCUCUUACCACAUCUGGAUUGGGCGGAAACUUGUUUAAAGUUUUAAAAACAACCAAUCCGAAUACGUAAUUAUCCUAGUACCUAUUCUCAGUAAUAGAAUAAUUACUAAUAAUAAUAGAACAAUAACUAAAUAAUAGAACAAUAAUUACCCCCCAAAACAUAAACAUACGUAUAAGGAAGCGUCCCUUUCUCCAACCGAAACAAUGCCCGAAAUGUUGAAAUCCGCUCGGCCCCGCCCCUUUUCUCCAUAAAAGCCAACUCACAGAGAGUUUUAACAGAGAGAGAGAAGGGGGGAAGUUAAAUAAAUGAUAUAAAAGAAAUAGGAUUAAUUCAUUUUAUAUUUGAUAUGAUAUUUAUCUUACGUAACUUUAUAAUUUAUCAAAAACAUUUUUUUUUUAUUGAUUUAUAAUUACAGAUCCCUUAUGGCAAACGGAAAAAAGUGUUAUUUCGUCCCUCGAGGUAGCGUUGUUCUCUGAGCACUCGGCGGUUUAUUCCGGUUGAUAAUCUCUGUGGAAAUAGCUAUUAAAUAAAUAAAGUACACCAAUUAUACAUUGCUAUUCUGUUUAUGUCCGUUUCAGAGCAGUCCUGGGUGCAUCUCUACCCGCG
ensembl:lncRNA